CGGUCGCCCGGGCGGUGGCGGACGCCGGGCCGCUGCCGGCGGCGGUGGUGCCGAUCGCCGUCGCGGCGACCGCC
rnacentral:tRNA from 1 species